UCCCUGGUGGCUCAGAGGUUAAAGCGUCUGCUGGGAAUGCGGGAGACCCAGGUUCGAUCCCUGGGUCGGGAA
rnacentral:tRNA from 1 species